GAUGAACGCUAGCGGCAGGCUUAAUACAUGCAAGUCGAGGGGCAGCAGGGUGUAGCAAUACAUCGCUGGCGACCGGCAAACGGGUGCGGAACACGUACACAACUUUCCUUUAAGUGGGGGAUAGCCCAGAGAAAUUUGGAUUAAUACCCCGUAAUAUUAUGAAGUGGCAUCAUUUUAUUAAUUAUAGCUCCGGCGCUUGAAGAUGGGUGUGCGGCUGAUUAGGUAGNGGCGGGGUAACGGCCCACCAAGCCUACGAUCAGUAACUGGUGUGAGAGCACGACCAGUCACACGGGCACUGAGACACGGGCCCGACUCCUACGGGAGCAGCAGUAAGGAAUAUUGGUCAAUGGACGCAAGUCUGAUCCAGCCAUGCCGCGUGAGUGAUGAAGGCCCUAGGGUUGUAAAGCUCUUUUGUGCGGGAAGAUAAUGACGGUACCGCAAGAAUAACG
rnacentral:rRNA from 1 species